rnacentral:tRNA from 2 species
UGGUAGGCCUGAGUGGACUUGAACCACCGACCUCACCCUUAUCAGGGGUGCGCUCUAACCACCUGAGCUACAAGCCU